rnacentral:tRNA from 1 species
GCCUAGUUAGCUUAGUUGGUAGUGCGUCUGCCUUGUAUCCGCUAGGCCGCGGGUUCGAUUCCCGCCCGGGGCG